rnacentral:rRNA from 1 species
UACGUAGGGGGCAAGCGUUGUCCGGAAUCAUUGGGCGUAAAGAGCGUGUAGGCGGCCCGAUAAGUCCGCUGUGAAAGUCCAGGGCUCAACCCUGGAAUGCCGGUGGAUACUGUCGGGCUCGAAUCCGGAAGAGUGAGUGGGAAUUCCUGAUGUAGCGUGAAAUGCGCAGAUAUCAGGAGGAACACCAAUGGCGAAGGCAGCUCACUGGGACGGUAUUGACGCUGAGACGCGAAAGCGUGGGGAGCAAACAG